GGAAGAAUAUUGGUCAAUGGGGGAAACCCUGAACCAGCAAUGCCGCGUGAAGGAAGAAGGCCUUCGGGUUGUAAACUUCUGUGACGGGGGACGAAGCAAGUGACGGUACCCCGAGAGGAAGCCCCGGCAAACUACGUGCCAGCAGCCGCGGUAAUACGUAGGGGGCGAGCGUUGUCCGGAAUUACUGGGCGUAAAGCGCGCGUAGGCGGCUUUACAAGUCGCUUGUGAAAGCCCCGGGCUCAACCUGGGGAUUGCAGGCGAAACUGUAGGGCUUGAGUGCGGUAGAGGAAAGUGGAAUUCCUAGUGUAGCGGUGAAAUGCGCAGAUAUUAGGAGGAACACCAGUGGCGAAGGCGACUUUCUGGGCCGUAACUGACGCUGAGGCGCGAAAGCGUGGGGAGCAAACAGG
rnacentral:rRNA from 1 species